rnacentral:rRNA from 1 species
GUGAGGAAUAUUGGUCAAUGGGCGGAAGCCUGAACCAGCCAUCCCGCGUGCAGGAAGACGGCCCUAUGGGUUGUAAACUGCUUUUCCAGGGGGCGAAACUUUCCGAUGUAUCGGGAUUUGACGGUACCCUGGGAAUAAGCAUCGGCUAACUCCGUGCCAGCAGCCGCGGUAAUACGGAGGAUGCGAGCGUUAUCCGGAUUUAUUGGGUUUAAAGGGUGCGUAGGCGGAUCGAUAAGUCAGUGGUGAAACCCUGCAGCUUAACUGUAGACUUGCCGUUGAUACUGUUGGUCUUGAGUGUGGUCAAGGUAGGCGGAAUGUGUAAUGUAGCGGUGAAAUGCUUAGAUAUUACACAGAACACCGAUUGCGAAGGCAGCUUACUGGGAUGCAACUGACACUGAUGCACGAAAGCGUGGGUAUCAAACAGGAUUAGAAACCCCAGUAGUCC